rnacentral:lncRNA from 13 species
UAAAAUACAUAAACAUAACUUUAUUUUUAUUAACGUGUGUCUCCUCCUCAAAUUUUAAAAGCUUCAGAGUCCACAAAUGGAUGUGCCUCUGCUGAUUCGGGCUUCAGUUCAGUCCCUUUAUGCCUGCCUCAUAUACCCUUCAAUCCUGGGAAGGUGGCUCCUGGUGGCUUGAACGGAAUGUGCAUCUCAAAAGAAGGCUGCAGGCUGCUACCACCUGAAAAAGAAGAGCUACCUGGGAAGGUGAAUAUUUAUAUAAUUUCUU